CAGCAGCAGCCGCGGUAAUACGAAGGGUGCAAGCGUUAAUCGGAAUUACUGGGCGUAAAGCGUGCGUAGGCGGUGAGUUAUGUCUGCUGUGAAAUCCCCGGGCUCAACCUGGGAAUGGCAGUGGAUACUGGCUCGCUAGAGUGUGUCAGAGGAUGGUGGAAUUCCCGGUGUAGCGGUGAAAUGCGUAGAGAUCGGGAGGAACAUCAGUGGCGAAGGCGGCCAUCUGGGACAACACUGACGCUGAGGCACGAAAGCGUGGGGAGCAAACAGGAUUAGAUACCCCUGUAGUCCCUGUCUCUUAUAC
rnacentral:rRNA from 1 species